AACGUAGGACGCAAGCGUUAUCCGGAGUUACUGGGCGUAAAGAGCGUGUAGGCGGUGAUGUAAGUUACGUAUGAAAGCUCCCGGCUAAACUGGGAGAGGAUAGGUGAUACUGCAUGACUAGAGAGUGAAAGAGGACAGUGGAAUUCCGGGUGUAGUGGUGAAAUGCGUAGAUAUCCGGAGGAACACCAGUGGCGAAGGCGACUGUCUGGUUCACAACUGACGCUGAGACGCGAAAGCAUGGGUAGCGAACGGG
rnacentral:rRNA from 1 species